UACGAAGGGGGCUAGCGUUGCUCGGAAUCACUGGGCGUAAAAGGGUGCGUAGGCGGGUCUUUUAAGUCAGGGGUGAAAUCCUGGAGCUCAACUCCAGAACUGCCUUUGAUACUGAAGAUCUUGAGUUCGGGAGAGGUGAGUGGAACUGCGAGUGUAGAGGUGAAAUUCGUAGAUAUUCGCAAGAACACCAGUGGCGAAGGCGGCUUACUGGUCCGGUUCUGACGCUGAGGCGCGAAAGCGUGGGGAGCAAACAGG
rnacentral:rRNA from 1 species